GUACACGCUGUGACUAGCAUAUCAAUAAGCGGAGGAAAAGAAACUAACAAGGAUUCCCCUAGUAACGGCGAGUGAAGCGGGAAGAGCUCAAAUUUGAAAUCUUAAAGGGUUUCCCUUUACGAAUUGUAGUUUAAAGAAGUGUUUUCUGUUGAGGUUUUGGUAAAAGUUCUUUGGAAUAGGACAUCAUAGAGGGUGAGAAUCCCGUAUUUGACCUUUACUUUCAACUUUGUGAUACACUUUCAAAGAGUCGGAUUGUUUGGGAAUGCAGUCCAAAAUGGGUGGUAAAUUUCAUCUAAAGCUAAAUAUUGGCGAGAGACCGAUAGCGAACAAGUACCGUGAGGGAAAGAUGAAAAGAACUUUGAAAAGAGAGUUAAACAGUACGUGAAAUUGUCAAAAGGGAAGCGUUUGACACCAGUGUUGUUUUUCUGAAAAUCAAUUAAAGAACUGUUUAUGCUAAGCUGUUUAGACUUUAUCAGCUAUACUGUUUAGUUCUGAGCUUUUCUUUAAUGCACUUUUCAGUUAACAAGUCAACAUCAAUUUCUUUUGCUGUAAAAAAGCUUGAGGAAGGUGGCUUGAGAUUCGUCUUAAGUGUUUAUAGCCUCUUGCCUAUGCAGUCGGAGAGAUUGAGGUCUGCAGCGUAGAUCCUUCGGGGCUAAAUGCAUUUGUGCUAAGUUAUAGCAUUUUAUAGACAACUUGUUGACUAUGAUUUGUCUUGUAGCUUACUCGCUUAUGUUAUUUUACCUACGCUUAGGAUGUUGAAGAUGUAGCACAUCAU
rnacentral:rRNA from 1 species